GAUGAAGAACGCAGCGAAAUGCGAUAAGUAAUGUGAAUUGCAGAAUUCAGUGAAUCAUCGAAUCUUUGAACUCACAUUGCGCCCAUUAGUAUUCUAGUGGGCAUGCCUGUUCGAGCGUCAUUAAGUCCACUUAAGCCCUGCUUAGUGUUGGGAGACUGCUCCAGCGGUGCUACCCUGUAGCUACCCUGCAGCUCCUCAAAGACAGCGGCGGAGUUGUGGUAUCCUCUGAGCUUAGUAACUUGUUCUAGCUUUCGAGUACACCACUUCCCCUGCCGUAAAACCCUUAAUUUUUAAUGGUUGACCUCGGAUCAGGUAGGAAUACCCGCUGAACUUAAGCAUAUCAAUAAGCGGAGGA
rnacentral:misc_RNA from 1 species